GCAUGUGUACGCGCACACUUACUCGGGGGAAAAGAACUACAGUCAAAGUUUUAACGUUGUUUUUUUACCUGAUAUCUAUCAUCCAUUGAAUUAGUACAAUAAUUGUUUUCUUAUUCUGUGUGCUGACUGACUAUGCAAAAUGCCGGAACUAGAAAAACCGUGUUUAUCGUCUCCAUAUACGAAAUUCAUGGUAGAUGUUAUAAGUGAUGAUGGCACCAGCUACCGAGGCUACGUGUGUGGAUCGGCAGGAAACGGUCUUUAUAUUAGCAAUAGCCAAACCGAAGAAGCAACAGUGGUCCCAUUUGAACAAUUACGGGAAGUAGAUGAGUUUUCAGACCGCUCCCAUACAGAUCAGGAAAUAAAAGAAGGAGAAGUUGAUGUUCUUUUGAAAACGGAUGAAAAUUAACGGGAAUCAUGGUGGCCAGGGUGUAUUAAAAGCUACACAGCGAAAGACGCCGCGCUCUUCAAUUUUACGGAAGUUGAAGUCGCAUUGCCAACAACUACACGACGUUACGUCAUGAUGCAGUAUCAGGGUUGUUACAGAACACGGACAAUCCGUCCUCGUGGUUACCUGGGGAAAAAUGUGACGCCGGAAACCUUCCCUGUAAUGCGAAUUCCCUUGCCAGUGUCGGAGCCAUGGUGUCGGGACGUUUCAGUUGGGUUGAAAUGGCUGAGCCGUAUCGCAGCGUUUUACACCCACUGGUACUGCCAAACAAAUACGAUCUUUCUCCAUUCCGAUGAUCAGUUUAUUGAAGUUCUAAGCAGUCACCGGAAUUAUGACUCACCGCGUACUCUUUCUGAGGCCUUUAAAGCGUCCCUUUUGCCAGGGAUAUUGAACUACUUCCAGAAAUUUGAUGAGCGCGUUCACGUGGUGACAGACAACCUAAUUUGCCACUUGGUUAAUGCUGUUACGGAAGCAGAAGUUCCGUUGAACUCGUGCGAGUAUCGCAUAGAUGAAUUACCUUGGGAUGUGCAGCUGACGGUGUUUUCUUUUCUGGAUGCGUAUGACCAAGGGCGUUUCAAGAGGUUAUCAAGUCACUUUCGGCAUCUGUCGUCGGCAGCUAUUCUCCAAGAGUGCAUUGUACUGCCAAAGUAUUCCAGUAAUGUUAUUCUUGAUGAAGGAUUUCGCCUGAAUGACUUGAGUUCCACAUUUACAAAAAUAAUCAUUUCAAUCCUAUCGAGAAAUACGAAGGUCGUAUAUCUCACUGGAAGUUGGGAGGAAAUCUUGGAGCCAUUGUCAGAUAUCCUGCAGAUUUUAGAGUUGAAGCUGAACUGGCUUGUGGUUGCUGACAAUUAUACGCUGCAGCUUGGUGAGUUUAUGACCUUCCCUCCGGUUAGUCACAUGCUGAGGAAAAACCACGAAAAAGCAUAUAAGACAACAUGGAUGCCUACACCAGCUUACGCUGACAUGUGCCAUAACGUUCUCCUGAAAAACUGCAUUUUCAAGAGCAACAAGUCACUGUGCUUCAGAUACGCAUGUUCUCACUUUACUCCAACCGUGGACUUCGGAUUACUGAAUUGUUGCACCGAUCCAUUCGAAAUUUCAAUUUCUCUGUGGUCUUACCGAUUUGAACGAUCGUGGGCCACAUCGGGAAAUCGUUUCCACGACGAAUAUAAUCUUCUGCUCUGGAAACUAUGUCCCCAGUUAGAUGACAACAAAUUUCAAAAGCUUUUGGAGUGGUUGGACUACCUUAAAACACAACCGGAAAAUCUUGGAUUUUUUAUAUGGACGUUUAUCGAGCUCGUUUUUACAAUGUGGCGCGUCGAAGCUCCAAAGGAUAUCGCAGAAGUUUUUGAUAUCGUUUCAAACCCAAAAAUACAGCACUGUCCGUUGACCCACACCCUUUAUCUCUUGGUACCAAUCCAACCGUUUGCGUGACAAUGGAAUUUUGGGAUACAAGCAGCAACUGGAAGUGCUCGUGUGCGAAUGGUUCUUUUUCACGCUCUUCGCUACGGAGUGGGGAUCGACUAGCGGAUUUCGAUCGACGCGGAACUGAACUCCUCUUGCCAGAAGCGUCAGUCAGGUGCGGAUCAAACAACAGCUGAAAUGAAACGAGAAGCUACCCUCACCCACCAUCUGGCUUCGAUCUGCACUCAAAGUGUCUAUGACGUUGUGAUCGCGGGUCGCUAAUGCGCAUCUGCAACAGACAAAUGAUGAAGCCAAUAUUUCGAUGAUAUGCAUCGAUGUACAUACGAGUACAGUACUCUUAUUUCCGAAACGCUUUAUGCCUUAUACUACCGUACGCACCGUUCAGCAGCAAAGUGAAUGACGUGUUCCUCCUCAGAUAGCGUGUCUCGUUGCAGAAUGGUUUGGAAAUGUACCCAACAGGAUGUUAGUGGAUUCCUGCGACCGCAGUUCAACUAAAACGUCAGCAUCAAUCACUACAAUACACUAGCGCUGGUCCAGUGGAUCGUGGAUCAGAUGUAUAAUUAUGCCAGCAAGCCAACAGCCCGCAUGACAAAGAAAGCCAUUUUUCACG